ACUUCUUUUAUGUCUUCUAUCUUCCCACAAAUUGGUAAACCAGUAGGAGCUUGCUCAAUGUUCACUUUAACUCCAAUGCAAAAAUUGCAAGCUCAUCGGUAUGUGCUCCUCAAUUGCACAAUAGUCACACCAUUUGUAGAUGAAUUUAGACAAUUCAUAAAAAGGAGUUCAAGAGGAAGAAGACCUUCGUCUACGGAGAUAGAGAAGAAAGUCAAUAAAGAGUUUGUUGAUUGGUUUAGAAAGCGGAUUAUGAAUCCAGACACAAUAAGUGAAAUGUCUACUGAUCUAAAGUUUCUAGCACGAGGACCUUUGGAUA